AGUAGUUUGAUCAUGGCUCGAGGACGAACGCUGGCGGCACGCUUAACACAUGCAAGUCGAACGGAGAUGCUUUGAGUUUACUUAGAGUAUCUUAGUGGCGGACGGGUGAGUAACACGUGAGCAACCUGCCUUUGAGAGAGGGAUAGCUUCUGGAAACGGAUGGUAAUACCUCAUAACGUAGUUGGAUCGCAUGAUCUGACUACCAAAGAUUUAUCACUCAAAGAUGGGCUCGCGUCUGAUUAGCUAGAUGGUGAGGUAACGGCCCACCAAGUCGACGAUGUCUAGGGGAGCUGAGAGGCUUAUCCCCCACACUGGUACUGAGACACGGACCAGACUCC
rnacentral:rRNA from 1 species